CACGUAGGGCGCAAGCGUUGUCCGGAAUUAUUGGGCGUAAAGAGCUCGUAGGUGGUUUGUUACGUCUGCUGUGAAAUCCUAGGGCUUAACCCUGGGCUUGCAGUGGAUACGGGCAGACUAGAGGUAGGUAGGGGAGAAUGGAAGUUCCUGGUGUAGCGGGUGAAAUGCGCAGAUAUCAGGAGGAACACCGGUGGCGAAGGCGGUUCUCUGGGCCUUACCUGACACUGAGGAGCGAAAGCGUGGGGAGCGAACAGG
rnacentral:rRNA from 1 species